AGAGUUUGAUCCUGGCUCAGGACGAACGCUGGCGGCGUGCCUAACACAUGCAAGUCGAACGGGGUAAAGACUUCGGUUUUUACUUAGUGGCGAACGGGUGAGUAACGCGUGAGAAACCUGCCUUUCAGUGGGGGACAACAGUUGGAAACGACUGCUAAUACCGCAUAAUGUUAUUUGGGGGCAUCCCUGAAUAACCAAAGAUUUAUUGCUGAAAGAUGGUCUCGCGUCUGAUUAGCUAGAUGGCGGGGUAACGGCCCACCAUGGCGACGAUCAGUAGCCGGUCUGAGAGGAUGAACGGCCACAUUGGGACUGAGAUACGGCCCAGACUCCUACGGGAGGCAGCAGUGGGGAAUAUUGGGCAAUGGGGGAAAGCCUGACCCAGCAACGCCGCGUGAAGGAAGAAGGCCUUCGGGUUGUAAACUUCUUUUACCAGGGACGAAGAACGUGACGGUACCUGGAGAAAAAGCAACGGCUAACUACGUGCCAGCAGCCGCGGU
rnacentral:rRNA from 1 species